rnacentral:tRNA from 1 species
AUCCUUGUAGCUCAAUCGGUAGAGCAUUCGGCUGUUAACCGACAGGUUGAAGGUUCGAGUCCUUCCAAGGGUGCCA